GGGGAAUUUUGGACAAUGGGGGCAACCCUGAUCCAGCCAUGCCGCGUGAGUGAAGAAGGCCUUCGGGUUGUAAAGCUCUUUCGGCCGGGAAGAAAUCGCAUAGGUUAAUACCCUGUGUGGAUGACGGUACCGGAAUAAGAAGCACCGGCUAACUACGUGCCAGCAGCCRCGGUAAUACGUAGGGUGCGAGCGUUAAUCGGAAUUACUGGGCGUAAAGCGUGCGCAGGCGGUUUCGUAAGACAGAGGUGAAAUCCCCGGGCUCAACCUGGGAACUGCCUUUGUGACUGCGAAGCUAGAGUACGGCAGAGGGGGGUGGAAUUCCACGUGUAGCAGUGAAAUGCGUAGAGAUGUGGAGGAACACCGAUGGCGAAGGCAGCCCCCUGGGCCGAUACUGACGCUCAUGCACGAAAGCGUGGGUAGCAAACAGGAUUAGAUACCCUGGUAGUCCACGCCCUAAACGAUGUCAACUAGGUGUUGGGUGGGUAAAACCAUUUAGUACCGUAGCUAACGCGUGAAGUUGACCGCCUGGGGAGUACGGCCGCAAGGUUAAAACUCAAAGGAAUUGACGGAAGGGCGAAUU
rnacentral:rRNA from 1 species